GAGCAUGUUUCCAAGGGUUGUGGCUGAUGGUAGCCAUGGGCAUUCCAACUGCAUUUGAGAGCAACCUGGAGAGACUUUGACAGCUUAAGUCAGCAUAAUACCUACAGCUACUACUCACCUUUCCUGUGUGU